UACGGGGGGAGCAAGCGUUGUUCGGAUUUACUGGGCGUAAAGGGCGCGUAGGCGGCCAGCACAAGUCAGUUGUGAAAUCUCCGGGCUUAACUCGGAAAGGUCAACUGAUACUGUGCGGCUAGAGUGCAGAAGGGGCAACUGGAAUUCUCGGUGUAGCGGUGAAAAUGCGUAGAUAUCGAGAGGAACACCUGCGGCGAAGGCGGGUUGCUGGGCUGACACUGACGCUGAUGCGCGAAAGCCAGGGGAGCGAACGGG
rnacentral:rRNA from 1 species